GGGAAUGCUCAGAGAUGCUGACGCACAUGUGACCUCAGUGGAGCUGGCAGCUGGAUCUGCACUUGGACUGGAGUUCCCAGAACCGUGGGGCUGGAGAGAAGAACCUAGGAGUUUCUCAGAAGUUACCUAAAUGGAUCCUCCUCCACUUUUGGUUUUCACCACUAAAUGGGACACCAAUGGGGUAAAACAACUGCCAUGAAGUAAGCCCGGUAAAGUCCCUCAUGCCUGCCACUGAAUCUUUCUAAGCAUAACAAGUGACUCUCUUCCUUUGAACGUGUACAAAUGCCCUCUAGAAGCACCCAGCACUGGGUUCUGAUGCCCAGUAAGUGAGCAAGAGAACAGGAAUACUGAACAGGAACUAGAAAGAAGCAACGUCAUGGGGAGAAAGGACAAGAGCAGAUGUCACCCGAUGCUGGGACCUCCAUGCACACACACUCUGACAGUGCAAUGGACUCAGCUGGGAGAACGGAUAGUCCUUCAGGGCCCUUGAGGGGAGAGGAAGCACAGUGACUUGCAGUUCCUGGAAAUUUGCAAAUGUGCCUGGAAUUAUGGAAAUGUACCCCGUCUUUCUUGAGGAUGUAGCUCCCCUGACCUUGUAAGAAAGCCUGACGGUGCCAUCCAUGGUUGGAUCCUGAGGCCCCACCAACCCAUAGUGAUGGCCGCCAGGCAUCCUUCCAGAUUUCCUCCCCUCUCACAUGACAAGAGGAGAAAGGGAUGGCUCUCACUACCAGGGACUAAUUUCUUAUAGUUAAUGACCUUUUAGAAAAGAAACAGCUCAGCCUUCUCACUCUUAUACAAUGGCUCCUGAAUUCUUGGGGGAGUAACUAGGCUUAUUCCUGCUUCAAAGACAGGAAGCCGGGGGCAGAAAUGGAAGGGGACAAGAACAAAAGGGAACAUUCCCUGACUGCCCACUAUAUACUAAGCAUGCUUGGUGAAGCAAGAUGUACUCCCUUGCGGAUAUUUCACAGCAAACCUUCCAGAUGAGGAAACCCAGGCUGAGAACCACUCAAGUUCACAAGCAAUCAGAUGGCAUUGCCAGGAUCCUAGCUCAAGCUCCACUCUGCAACAUCUAAAAUGGAGAAGAAAGAAAAGACAGUAAUAAAAAAAGAAAUCCUUACUUAUAAAAUCAAUUUCAAAGAACUGUUCUCUGAUGUCCCCCAAGAGCAUUCCAGUAUCCUUUCUUCCCUCUGCACCACGUGCUCCUUACACAU